ACGGAGGGGACUAGCGUUGUUCGGAAUUACUGGGCGUAAAGCGCGCGUAGGCGGACAUUUAAGUUAGAGGUGAAAUCCCACGGCUCAACCGUGGAACUGCCUUUAAUACUGGAUGUCUUGAGUUCGAGAGAGGUGAGUGGAAUUCCGAGUGUAGAGGUGAAAUUCGUAGAUAUUCGGAGGAACACCAGUGGCGAAGGCGGCUCACUGGCUCGAUACUGACGCUGAGGUGCGAAAGCGUGGGGAGCAAACAGG
rnacentral:rRNA from 1 species